GUGUCAGCAGCCGCGGUAAUACGGGGGGGGCGAGCGUUGUUCGGAAUUACUGGGCGUAAAGGGCGCGUAGGCGGCCUGGGAAGUCUUGGGUGAAAGCCCCCGGCUCAACCGGGGAAGGGCCUGAGAAACCACUGGGCUGGAGUGCUGGAGAGGAAAGCAGAAUUCCUGGUGUAGCGGUGAAAUGCGUAGAGAUCAGGAGGAAUACCUGCGGCGAAGGCGGCUUUCUGGACAGACACUGACGCUGAGGCGCGAAAGCCAGGGGAGCAAACAGGAUUAGAAACCCUAGUAGUCC
rnacentral:rRNA from 1 species